GGCAGCUCUGAGGUUUUGCUGUGGUUUGGGGUGUCUGUGCUUUCCUGGGUGUGCUGCAGGAGAGGGAGAGAGAAAUCCUGGUGGAUGAAUCCUUGCUGCAGAGAGGGAGUGUGGGUGGAGGCAGGGUGGCAGAAGAUUGUCACUUAUGACUGGCACUCAGAAUUCCUGCUGCCGAGUGCCACAGGCUGGACCCUGGAGAAAUCCUGGGAAUGCAGAGAAGAGCAGUGAUCUCCAAGGGCUCUCCCACUGUCCCAGCACUGAUGGCUCUGAGCACCCCAAAACACAGACCCAGGCAUGUGUGGGGUGACAAGGAAAGGUCAGCCUUCCCAAGGCAUCAGUGUCUGGUGACUCUGCUGGGACAGAAGGCAUCUGGAAACGCCCUGGAGCAGAGCAAAGGAACAUCCAGGCACCAGGCAUUCACAAGGCAUCAAACCAGGAGCAGACAAACCCCAGAGGGGCAGAGCUGCUGCCCCUGAAGGAGUUAAUUCCCCAAGGAGUGCACUAAGUGGUCAGCAGCCCAAUAAAUUAGGGCCUGGAAAGACAAACCCCAAUCAUCAUUAGUCACGGCUCAUUGGCCUGUUAAGGCUCCUCAGCCGAGUUUAUCUCUUCCCUCCUGUCCAGCCACUGCCAUAUUUCAUGCUCUGAAAACAGCUGACCCCGGGGGUCAGCCAAAUGAAAGCCCCAUUCAACAGCUCCUCCAAGGGCUGGCCAAGGAAAAAAACAACCGAGGUCAGAAUUCCCCAGGGCUGCAGCAGCCCAGGGCCUGCUGCCCCACGGCCCCGGUGCCCAGGACAUGUUAAUCCUCCAGGGAUCAUGGGGGUCAGGCAGGGCUGGCAGGAACAGUGGCAUAAUUAGGUGAGGGUGACCUCCAUAAAACUGUAAUGGGCUUCCAGAGGCUGGACACGAGCAGCUCGUGGUGCUCUGCACCCAUUGCUGGCUCUGGGGGUGCUGGGAGUGGCUCUAGGGAUGGAGGGAGGCCCAAAUGUUGAUGAGUGUUGUGGCACAGGGUAUCAGCACUUAGGGUAAUUUUAGUAGCAAGUAUUUUGAAAGAAAAGAGUGAGGGGAAUGUCUUAAUUUCCAUUAAAAGAAAAAGAAAAAAGCAACCAAGGUCAAAAUAGCCUAGGGCCUGCUGGCCCACAUCCCCAGGCCGCGCUCAGUGCCCAGGACAUGUUAAUCCUUCAUGAGGUCAGGCAGGGCUGGCAGGAACAGUGGCAUAAUUAGGUGAGGGUGACCUCCAUAAAACUGUAAUGGGCUUCCAGAGGCUGGCCAUGAGCUGCUCUGCACCCAUUGCUGGCUCUGGGGGAGCUGGGAGUGGCUCUAGGGAAGGAGGGAUGCCCAAAUGUUGCUCCCUUGAAGUCCAACUCCUGUUUCACCAAUCCCUUGGAAGCCAAACUCCUGUUUUAGCAGCCCUAUGGAAGUCAAACUCCUGUUUUAACAAUCCCUUCAAGUCCAACUCCUGUUUUGCCAAUCCCUUGGAAGCCAAACUCCAUUUUAAGCAGCCCUUUGAAAGCCAAACUCCUGCUUUCCAGCCGUUUGGCUGACAAAGCAGCGUUGCUUUUAGGAAUUCAAAGCUGUGCCAAUAUCUGGGACCAGGGAAACCUCGUGGAGGCAGCACAGGUGUUAAUUUCUGGGAUUGCAGGUUUUCCUCCAGCAGCAGCAGAUGCUGGUGCUGGAAGGUGCCUCUUUAUCCCACUCCAUGAGCAACCUGUGCAUCUCCAGGUGCUGACAGGUAUUUAGGCUCUGGAGGAAGAUGUUGGACCCUGGAAUAUCAUUUUCCUGGAGCUGGAGGUCAAAUCUGGGGCUGAGCCCAUGUUGCCAUGUGUGUCUCUAUUAAGGAAGGGUUUCAAACAGCUCCCCCAAUAACUCUGUCACUGAGCACCAUGAAUCAGGAGCUGCUGGCUCAGGGCUUUUCCUUUUUUUUCCAGGCAAGCAGAGGGAGGGGUGAGCAUCAAGGAGAACUCUGCUGAGAUAAUUCCUGCCCAAAGCAGCUCGUGGGGAUCACAUUUUAACCCAGCUAUUUGUCUGUCUGUUUAUUGCAGCGUGUCAGGGGAUGUUUGAACACAAAGCAAUAGAGAUGAUGUGAUUUGGGACAUCCAAUCUCCCUGCUCCCUCCCUAAUUACAGGGAGGAUAAUGAUGGGAGGAUGCCAGA